rnacentral:lncRNA from 1 species
GAUUGAAUUGUGGGAAUGAUGAAAAUAUUGAUGUUAAACCCAUGAUAUUUCAUUGAAUUAUGUGAAUAAUGAAAAUGUUAUUGCUAAAUACAUAAAAUUUGAUUGAAUUGUGGGAAUGAUGAAAAAGAUGAUGUUAAACCCAUGAAAUUUGAUUGAAUUGUGGGAAUGAUGAAAAUGUUGAUGUUAAACCCACGAAAUUUGAUUGAAUUGAGGGAAUGAUGAAAAUGAUAAUGUUAAACCCAUAA